rnacentral:rRNA from 1 species
GACGAACGCUGGCGGCGUGCUUAACACAUGCAAGUCGAACGGAAAGGCCCUGCUUUUGUGGGGUGCUCGAGUGGCGAACGGGUGAGUAACACGUGAGUAACCUGCCCUUGACUUUGGGAUAACUUCAGGAAACUGGGGCUAAUACCGGAUAGGAGCUCCUGCUGCAUGGUGUGGGUUGGAAAGUUUCGGCGGUUGGGGAUGGACUCGCGGCUUAUCAGCUUGUUGGUGGGGUAGUGGCUUACCAAGGCUUUGACGGGUAGCCGGCCUGAGAGGGUGACCGGCCACAUUGGGACUGAGAUACGGCCCGGACUCCUACGGGAGGCAGCAGUGGGGAAUAUUGCACAAUGGGCGGAAGCCUGAUGCAGCAACGCCGCGUGCGGGAUGACGGCCUUCGGGGUGUAAACCGCUUUCGCCUGUGACGAAGAGUGAGUGACGGUAAUGGGUAAGGAAGCACCGGCUAACUACGUG